rnacentral:rRNA from 1 species
UGAGUAACCUGCCCUUAACUCUGGGAUAAGCCUGGGAAAACUGGGUCUAAUACCGGAUAUGACUCCUCAUCGCAUGGUGGGGGGGUGGAAAGCUUUAUUGUGGUUUUGGAUGGACUCGCGGCCUAUCAGCUUGUUGGUGGGGUGAUGGCCUACCAAGGCGACGACGGGUAGCCGGCCUGAGAGGGCGUUCUGCCACACGUGGGACCGAGACGACGGCCCAGACCUCCGUACGGGGAGGCAG